GCAGCAGAUGGGGCAAGGCUCAGGGAGAACAUCCCCCCAGGAGCCCAGGGGCCUGAUGCUCGUCAAGCCCUAACACUAAGCUGCUGUGUACCCCUGAGGAGCCACGCCACAAAGCCUGUGGGAUCUUAGUUCCCUGACCAGGGAUCAAACCCGCGCCCCCUGCAUCGGCAGCACGGAGUCUUAGCCACUGGCCUGCCAGGGAAGUCCCCGUCAUAGACACUUUGGGGGCACCUGCCCAGACCACGGCUCUCAUGAUGGUCCACCCCGCCAGCAGAGCUGAGGCCCUAACACUCUGUACUUCAUGACUGCAGACCCGGAUGAGGACUGACUGCACAGAGACGGACACCUGCUCCUGGCUUGACAGAAGCUCAGGAUUACUUGGGGCACAGUACAGGGCAGAAUCUUGCUACUCAAAGCCUGGAACUGGGAGCUUGGCCUCACCUGGGAACUUAUUAAAAGGAGACUCCCAAGCCCCAUCCCAACUUAAUGAAUAAGAAUCUGCAUUUUAACACGGGCCCAGAGAUUGGUGCAUGCAUUUAAAGUUUGAGGAGCUCCGACUCAGAAGUGCUGGUCCACUAACUGACACGCAGCUUCGGUAGAGUUUUCACUGGUCCACAUGAAAAUGUUAGUGUGAAAUUUGUCCUUUCUCGGCAAGAGCCAUCUUCCACUCUGAUUGUAUUCCCUUCCUACUACUUUUUAGGCAUAAAGUGUGCUUGAGGAAGUGAGACUGAUUGUGAUUGUGGAUGUA